GACGAACGCUGGCGGCGUGCUUAACACAUGCAAGUCGAGCGGUAAGGGCCCUUUCGGGGGUACGACGAGCGGCGAACGGGUGAGUAACACGUGGGUGACCUGCCCUCAGCUCUGGGAUAAGCCUGGGAAACUGGGUCUAAUACUGGAUAUGACUCCACGGUGCAUGUCGUGGGGUGGAAAGCCUUGUGCGGCUGAGGAUGGGCCCGCGGCCUAUCAGCUUGUUGGUGGGGUGANGGCCUACCAAGGCGACGACGGGUAGCCGGCCUGAGAGGGCGACCGGCCACACUGGGACUGAGACACGGCCCAGACUCCUA
rnacentral:rRNA from 1 species